rnacentral:rRNA from 1 species
GGACGAACGCUGGCGGCGUGCCUAAUACAUGCAAGUAGAACGCUGAAGGAGGAGCUUGCUCUUCUGGAUGAGUUGCGAACGGGUGAGUAACGCGUAGGUAACCUGCCUGGUAGCGGGGGAUAACUAUUGGAAACGAUAGCUAAUACCGCAUAACAGUAGAUGUUGCAUGACAUUUGCUUAAAAGGUGCAAUUGCAUCACUACCAGAUGGACCUGCGUUGUAUUAGCUAGUUGGUGGGGUAACGGCUCACCAAGGCGACGAUACAUAGCCGACCUGAGAGGGUGAUCGGCCACACUGGGACUGAGACACGGCCCAGACUCCUACGGGAGGCAGCAGUACGGAAUCUUCGGCAAUGGACGGAAGUCUGACCGAGCAACGCCGCGUGAGUGAAGAAGGUUUUCGGAUCGUAAAGCUCUGUUGUAAGAGAAGAACGAGUGUGAGAGUGGAAAGUUCACACUGUGACGGUAUCUUACCAGAAAGGGACGGCUAACUACGU